rnacentral:lncRNA from 1 species
GUGCCUGCACUUUGAACUUGAGCUUUUCGAUCUGCUUCUGAGAAAAAAUCAGAGAGUGUUGUAUGUCGACUAGGAGUUGAAACUGAUAGCCUUCUGACCAAGGCUCAGUUAGAUGAGUUGAUCUGGAAGUCCAGUCGACCCGCAGCUAUUAUGCUGAUUAGAGGUUGUUCCGAUACGCAAGCCAAAUAAGGAUCGGAUGCAACUGGAGAUCGACCAGCUGAUCUUCUGACCAAGAGUCGAAUCAAAUUAUUUUCAUCCAGAAUUCGAGUAAAGAACCG